ensembl:snRNA
AUGUAGUAUGAGAGUAAAGAAGGCUAGCACUUCCCUUCAUAGAGAUGUAAGAGUUCCCACUAGCUCUUAAAAUACAAUUAAAAUAGAUUUAGUUAUCACUAUCUACUCUGUGGCAUCUAACCAGCCU